rnacentral:lncRNA from 1 species
UACUUCCCUUAUCACGUAUUUCUUUUGUGAAGGUCCGAGACAUCGUGCUAAAGGUCCACCGAACAUCAUUCGGUAUAAGCUUCCACGAAUUAAGCAAUAUCGAGUGGGUUUUUGGUGAAGUAAUUGUGACUUCUUCUUGUCUUAGGGUACAAUUCCAUGCUGCAAAAGGUUAACGAAUUCAUUCCUCCAAUCCCAAGUUAGAUUAAAAUUUACCUCAUUCUUAUCUUGGUCAUUUGCCAAAUAAAACAAAUGUAUUACAAUAGCAUUUUCUCCAUUUGCUAUUUUUAUAACACACGCAAGAUUGGUCAACGCAUCUGUUUUUGCAUUCUACUCCCUGGGUAUUUGUAUGGCAUUCCAUGACUGAAAUUGUUUGAGUAAUUC